GUGAUUUACCUGCUGCACUCUGCCUGAAGAGAUUCUUAACCUGAUCAAUUCCAAACCUAAGACCCUGUUUUUCAAAUGUGGCAACUUAAAUUAUUUACCGAAAAGAAAAUAUUUCUUCAACCUUUGUAUCUUCCUUAGUUACAGAUAGCCUGCUGGGGUCAAUUCUGAAAGCAAUUUAUGACAACUCAGCCUGUGGCUCCCCUCACAACAGCCCGUCAGGUGGGUAAUUCUCCCAGCCUGAGCAUCAAAGCAAGCUGUCCCCUCACAAGUUGGUUUCUGCAAGGAACCAGGAUUAAAAUGGCUAUUAUUUGUCUGUUUAUAUCACAUCACGGAAUGUAAAUGCCUUGUGACUUCUCCAGUUUACAUUCCCUUGUUCUCCUCUUCCCCACCUAGUCCAGAGGCCUGCAGGAAAGCUGACACCACCCCAGCUGCAGAGCAUGUGACCCAUUUCUGACCAAUGAGAUGCACCAGUUCUUCAGCUGGAUAAGGCUCCAGAAGUGACACUUUUUCUUGGAUGCAGACAUGUGGAAAUUGCUACCUCUAUCCUGUUACUCACUGUAAGGAUGGCGCUAACAGUGUGGGGGAGGUUUGAGAUGAGUAAAUCACAGGGUGACAGAGCAGAAGAGUAGACAAAUCAGCUUGGGAGCCCAUGCUAUUGCUGGGCUUGUGGGUGUGGG
rnacentral:lncRNA from 1 species